rnacentral:rRNA from 1 species
UACGUAGGAUCCGAGCGUUAUCCGAAUUUACUGGGCGUAAAGCGCGUGUAGGCGGUUUGGAAAGUUGGAUAUGAAAGCUCCUGGCUCAACUGGGAGAGGCUGUUCAAAACUACCAGACUUGAGGGCAGUAGAGGGAGGUGGAAUUCCCGGUGUAGUAGUGAAAUGCGUAGAUAUCGGGAGGAACACCAGUGGCGAAAGCGGCCUCCUGGACUGUUCCUGACGCUCAGACGCGAAAGCUAGGGGAGCGAACGGG